GUAUAGUAAUAGCUAAUUGCAUCAAUGUUUAAAUAAUUGAUGCAAUAUCGACUCUGUCGAAUAAAAUUCUAGGUAGAAUUAUGAUAAUGACAUUGUCUGCCUAUGUGUCUUGACCAAAUUACGUGCCAGCAGUCGCGGUAAUACGUAGAAGACUAGUGUUAUUCAUCUUUAAUAGGUUUAAAGGGUACCUAGACGGUAGAUCAAGCCUGCAAUAUGGGACUAAUGUACUAGAGUUACUUACGAGGGGGUUUUAAAGUACUGCUGGUGGAGAGAUGAAAUUCAGUCAUACCUUAUUUUGAAUAAAAUACUAUGGCACAGGUAUAGGCGAAAGCAUCCCCUUAUGUGAUAACUGACGUUGAAGGACGAAGGCUUUUGGUAGCGAACAGGAUUAGAUACCCCAAUAGUCAAAGCAGAAAAUGAUGAAUGUCAUAGAUUAGACAUAUAAUAGUUUAUUCUAUAAAUGAAAGUGUAAGCAUUCCACCUCAAGAGUAAUUUGGCAACAUUGGAACUGAAAUCAUUAGACCGUUUCUGAAACCAGUAGUGAAGUAUGUUGUUUAAUUUGAUAAUCCGCAAAAAACCUUACCACAAUUUGAAUAUUUAGAUUAUUAUUUUCUUUUAUUUUUUGUUGUAGAGCAAAAUUAACAAGAAGAAAAGAGAAAUCUAUUUACAAGCGUUGCACGGCUGUCUACAGUUAAUGUCGUGAGAUUCUGGUUAGUUCCAUUAAUUAACGUAAACCCUUACUUUAUUUUUAUAUAGAGUUGUUCCCCACUAGAUUGGAUAAGAUAACAGGGACUAAGACAAGUCAUCAUGGCCUGAAUAUUGUGGGCUAUAGACGUGCCACAUAAACCUUACAAAAGGAUGUGAAAUUGUGAAUUGAGCUAAUCCCCC
rnacentral:rRNA from 1 species